AUUGCUUUUCAGCCUUUUGGCUAAGAUCAAGAGUAGUAUCUGUUCUUACCAGCUUAAUAUCUCACUACCUGAGACAGUAUCACUUUGCCACUGUAAAAUCAGAGGGUUUUCACUAUGUUCUUUAAUGAUUCUAGCUAGUCUCAUAACCAGUGGUAGUGACAUCAUCUGUGAACUUGCUAGAAAUGCAAAUUUUACACUGCAGCUUAGAAAUACAGAAGAAACUAC
rnacentral:snRNA from 1 species